rnacentral:rRNA from 1 species
AGUGAACGCUGGCGGUAGGCCUAACACAUGCAAGUCGAACGGCAGCACAGAGGAGCUUGCUCCUUGGGUGGCGAGUGGCGGACGGGUGAGGAAUACAUCGGAAUCUACCUUUUCGUGGGGGAUAACGUAGGGAAACUUACGCUAAUACCGCAUACGACCUUCGGGUGAAAGUGGGGGAUCGCAAGACCUCACGCGGAUAGAUGAGCCGAUGUCGGAUUAGCUAGUUGGCGGGGUAAAAGCCCACCAAGGCGACGAUCCGUAGCUGGUCUGAGAGGAUGAUCAGCCACACUGGAACUGAGACACGGUCCAGACUCCUACGGGAGGCAGCAGUGGGGAAUAUUGGACAAUGGGCGCAAGCCUGAUCCAGCCAUACCGCGUGGGUGAAGAAGGCCUUCGGGUUGUAAAGCCCUUUUGUUGGGAAAGAAAAGCAAUCGGCUAAUACCCGGUUGUUCUGACGGUACCCAAAGAAUAAGCACCGGCUAACUUCGUGCCAGCAGCCGCCGUAAGAC